AUUGAACGCUGGCGGCAGGCCUAACACAUGCAAGUCGAGCGAGCGGCGGACGGGUGCGUACUGUAUGGGGACUGCCCGUUACCUAGGGAUAACUACUGGAAACGGUUUCUAAUCACGCGUUCUAUCCGAUUACCCAUAUGGGAUUAGCUAGUCGGUGAGGUAAUGGCUAACCUAGGCGACGAUCCCUAGCUGGUCUGAGAGGUUGAUCGGCCACACUGGGACUGAGACACGGCCCAGACUCCUACGGAGGCAGCAGUGGGGAAUAUUGGACAAUGGGCGAAAGCCUGAUGGAGCCAUGCCGCGUGUAUGAAGAAGGCUCUAGGGUUGUAAAGUACUUUCAGUAGGGAGGCGGUACCGAAAGAAGAAGCAACGGCUAACUACGUGCCAGCAGCCGCGGUAAUAC
rnacentral:rRNA from 1 species